GUCAUUAAACCUUUGGCACAAGCAGUACAAAGGACGCUGAGUUCAUGUUUAUACUAACUUAUCUGGAUAAAGGGAAAGCUGUUCCUUUAAAUUAUGUUUGCUGUGACUCUGGAAAGUGAGCAAACUAAGUCUGAGGGAAAGCUUCCCUUUCGAUCAGAACUGAUAGAAAGUACAAGGAUUGAAGGACACAGAUUUCCAGUAGGACGUACCUGCCUCAGCAGCCAGCACUCAACUGCAAGUUCCUUAUAACUUGGGGGAGUUUAGUCCAGAUUUGUUGGACAUACCUCAUCCAGACGGCAAAUGAGAGACUGGUUCAGACCCAGACUGCCAGACAAAGCUGAUGGAGUUAUGGAGGUUACCUGUCUUCUGCUGCUCCGCUGCUGAUGGAUCGUCUCAGUUGCCAUAGAGACAAGCUCUGGAAGCCAUGGACGGGCACAGCGCAGGAGCUGCCGGUGGGCUCUCUGCCGGUGGGCUCUGGCAAGGCGUUCCUCAGCAGGCAUUAGCAGAGGCAGGGUCAGUCUCUGAAGGUGAGGAAGAGUCACACACACGUUACAUUGCCAUCCAAAGAAAUUCCACGUACUAUCGGUCCAUGCGGCUGCGGAGCAGAGGGAAAAGAAAGGCUACGAGAGAGACAGUGAAUGUGGGGCGUGCUACAGGUUCACUCAGAAAUGAGGAGCCUGCCAAAGAGCCUCUGACUAUGGAGGUUUUAUCUCAGAAGGGAUCGGCACCUCUGGCAAAUGUUGAUAUGAAAGCUUUAGAAGAACUAUGGAUCCAAAGGGUUUCAUUCCCGGAGGGAGAARCGCACCAUAUGCACCAGAUCUGGAGGCAGCUCCGUAAAGCCCCCCUCUGCCACCCCCUCGCCUCCCUCAGAGCCGGCACCGGGCGCGGGCAGGCGGAGCGGGGCCGGGGGGCCGAGCCGUGCCCCAGGGCUGAGGGAGGAGAGGUCGCCGCCAGGGUAGGAGCCCCCCUUGGUGUGGGGCAGCGGGGGAG
rnacentral:lncRNA from 1 species